CCAGUUUCAGCCAAUAGAGGGGCCAGAAGCAGAACCAUCACAGGACCAGAACGAGAAAAGCAUUAAAGGAGAAAUGAAGGUUGCAGUAUUUGUGCUGGUUUUGAUAUGCCUGGGCAGUGCAUGGUCAUGUGCAGGAUCCCAGCCUCUUGAUAGCAGCUCACCAAAUGACAUCCAGAAGUUUAGCCGUCGCUAUGCUGAAUCAACCAUUGCGAGUGACAUCAGCAAAAUUGUGGACUUGAUGGUUCAGAAAAACUUUGUAAACUUUCU